CGGGGCGUUAGCGGCUCCCUCGCGAGCUCCGCGCGCCCCACCCGCCGUUGGCCGCUGGGAGGUCGCGCGCUCGGGGCCGGAAGGGGGCGGGGCUCGCGCGUGCGCUGUGGCGGGUGGGGCGGCGGCGGAGGAAAGUUUGGAGGUGCGGAUCCCGGAGGAAUAUUGUCAUUAGGCCGGGAAUAAAGCGGGGUUAGCAUUUCGGCUCUCCUCUGGUCGCUCCUAAAGUUAGGGGUGUUUUAUCGCUGUGUUUUACGCUAAAGAAGUUCGUGCUGUCGGUAGAAGGGCGUUGGGAGUUGACUGGGCAUCUUGCAGCUUUGUGGGUGGGUGAGGUGACCACCGUCAUCCCGGGCAGUUUGGGGAGGUGGUGUAAGGCCACAUUCCAAACUGCCUUUGGAAACCUGCUAACUCAGUGUCGUGACUUGUGCCAUAUACAGAAUUUCUCAGGGAGGAUCGUACACAGAAUCACAGAACGAAUUAGGUUGGAAAAGGCCUGCGAGAUCUUGGGGUCCAACCCUUGAGUGAACACCACCAUGUCAAUUACACCGGGGCACAAAGUGCUGCCUCUAGUACUUCCUUAAACACCAAAGCAAUCCUGUGGAGUUUGGAAAACCUUGUUUUAUUCUUAGGUGUUGGGUUUUGUUUCGAAUCUAAAAAAACCAUUAAUCCUUUUGUGAGAAAGCAAUAUAUUUUCCUAUCAAUUAGAAUUCUAUGAGGCUUUUUAUUACCAGCUAAUCAGUCAUGUUUCAGAGUCUCACAAAAUAAUAGAAUCAAAUAAAUUGUACUUCAUUCCUGCUAAACAAAUGUACAAGUACUUGCCCUUGGACUAAACACUAAACAUUAAUGAAAGUGUAAUGCAGGAAGCCAUAUCAUGGAUUUGCAGAAGUCUUGGAGGUGACCAAACCCACGGCAGAGCUGGCAUCUCCCCAUGGCAAAAUGUGACGUCUUUGUUCAGCCUCCACCCUGCCCUGGCUUUAAACUGAGGUAAUGACUGGAAUCUGAAGCAGCUGACAAAUGAACACAUCCUGAGAUGGCAGUGGUGGCUUCUGUCAGCUGAGUACAGCAGAUGGCCAGCAUCAGCAGUGUCUUACAGUGAGUGAGUUACGUUGCUCUGUUUCUACCCUUGGCACUCCUGAACAAUGGCAAGAUAGAGUCUAGAGCAUGAUUGCAUUCCUUUGGCUUUGACCUGAAACAAGGAUCUAGCUUAAUAGAAGUUUUACUGUCUAUUCCUUCCACUGCCCUCCUCAAAGCAGCAAAUACGUUAGAUAAAGGCCUUGUCACAGUAGGAGGUAGGUAUAGCCCUUCUGAUGAUGCCCAAAACAAGUAUCUCGUUCUCCUUCUGUAACAAACUGACUUUUCAAGAUGCGACCUAAGUGUUUUAAGGCAACAGGAAAGGAUGCUUUUAUGCUUGAGGCACAGAAUUUGCAUUAAAUUUUAGAUUCUGGUGCUGCAAAAUUAUCUUAGAGAUUUAGGAUUGAACCUUGCAAGGGACCUGGAUGUUUGUGUGCUUGUUUCUGCUGAUUGCCCACCAGAACUGCAGUCCAGAGCCCUGAGUGCAAUUUGGGGUCUGGGAGGUCUCCUGGCAGGAGAGUGAGCCCUUGUUGAGUACUACCUGAUAUUCUCAUCUGGGUCUUUUCAAGAUCCAUUUUAGAUUUGCCUCUCUUGAGUUCUAUGUGGUGUCUGAUAAAAGUUGCUGUGGAGAGCCUGUGUCGUCAGCUGCGCUUAUUGCCCAGACCUGGUGUGUGUCCUGUCCUUGCAGGUGCUGCAUGUGGGUGGCUGGGCCUGGAAGUUGGCCUUCUUAGCAGAAACUACUUCUUUGAAACCCCAGGUUUGAGAUUUAGCUACAAUAUAUAGCUUGGUGUUUCCUUGUCAGUUUCAGGGAACUGCAGUCAAAUAGCAAUUGAAUGAGGGGCAAUAAUUCUUUAAUAAUAAAUCUUUUAAGUAUUUUUUCAAUCCAGAUAAGUUACCUGGAUGUGUUGCCUCCUUUCAGCUCGAUGUUCAUAGAACUAACAAAUGGGAAAAAAAGUAAAGUGUACACAAUGUUUUUCAAUGACAGCAAUUGAGAAAUAUUUCAGUGUUCACAGAUACAUUAUUUCUAAGCAUAAGCUCUACCCAAGUUAAAUAAAGAUCCUUUGUAACAUAAAGCUCUAAGCAGAUACAAGAUUUUUAUUGUGUUCCAGUGGUAUUAUGAUUUGUAGGUGCAAUUGGUUUUUAUUCUAGGCUAUAAUGGAAAUAGGGAAGUUAUUGAAAUUAAUUCAGACUUCAAUACAUUUUCUCUCUUGCCUAGAAAUUAUGACCUUUUGAUACAUGAUAGAUUGUAGUAAACUGUUGGACAGUAUGCAAACCCAUCUUUAUAGAUAGCCACAGGAAGCAUUUUUAAAUAGUAUCUGUAAAGUGCCAGUAUUGAAGAUUUUCUUUUAAUUAACACAGCCUGAUAGUAAAAAAGGUUUUAUUGUUUCCCCAGCUUUAUAGUUAGCCACAGGAAGCAUUUUUAAAUAGUAUCUGUAAAGUGCUAAUGUUGAAGAUUUUUUUUUAAUUAACAGAGCUGAUAAUUAAGGUCUUAUUGUUUAGAAUACAGACACUGUUUCUGAGUUCAAGAACUGCUCCAUCAUUUUCACAUCUCAGCAUUUUCCUUUUCUGUUCAGCUACAGGGCACUGCCAUGUGCUAAAAUGGAACUGUGAAAGCUAAAACCUUGAUGGUCUGUGUUAAAGAGAUAAGGAAGAACACGUACCUUUUGAAGGGGAGUGCCAGUUUCUUUAAACUAAGUGCCUGACUGAUAACACUGUUUGCUUUUGGUAGCCUACUUAGUCCAGAUAGUCUUUUCAGUGCUAGAUAAUCUUUUGAGCCCAGCCAAACCCAAGUUCUGAGUAAUUCCUUUUAAAAAAAAAAAGUGGGGAAAAAAAUACAUGUCAAGACCUCAGAGAUCUGUAUUUUGAGUCUUCUUGAAUGUGGGCAGAAGCAAUUUUGCUUGCUUGUUUUUGGGACUGUUCUUCAUUCAUACAAAGAACUGUAUGUCUGUUUACUGAACUUGUGAAGGAGAAAUAAUUUUGGCAACAGAACAGGGAAAGAAGUGUCAUUCUCAAGCAGUCAUGACGUGGGAAAGGUAAUAGUUAAUUACUUUGUAAUGUGCCUGAAGCAAACAAAGCAACAGGUUUGUGCAGUGGGAUUGUUUUCCCCAAUGCCAAGUGCAGCUGAGGAAAUAGGAAUGUACUGAACCAAAUUUGGUCAGGAAUAUUGCCUCAAAUAUGCUUUGUCUUCCUCUCCUCACUUCAAGAACUAGUUAAUUAUUGAGCCUUGGGAUGUACUACUAGGAUUGGAAAGAUGGAUGGGCAGAGGAAGAGGUACUAGAGCUGGGGCUGGGCAAGAAGCUGUUCUGUGAAGGCUCUGUCUGGAGGAGAGGAAUAGUGAGAUGCAGGAGCAGGGCAAGUCCAUGCCCAGCUGUCACUGACUGCACUGAGGACAAACUCUGCUGCUCUGGGUCUUCUGACAGUGCUCUCUCACCCCUUCUUCCUUCCCAUGAGUGAGCUUCAUUCUGUUCCAUACUUGUCCCUAGUACAGCACCUUCUCUCAGCCACAUCCUCUGCUUCAUUUCACUCUGCCUGAUACAGUCUGCCCUCCUCACUAAGAAACCACCAAAUCAAGGUAUUGUGAAAACCAGGUUGGUGUUUCCCUCUGCCUUUUAUUAGCUACAAUCAGAGCUGGUUAACUCUGAGGCUUGUUCCCUUCACCAGUAGCUGCAGUAUUGCUUCCUGAAGACCUGAAGUACUUUAAUCAAAAACAUUUGGGUAUUGUGCUGCUGUUCCUGAGCAGCACAAUAGAUGCUAGGUCCUCUUAAGUGCAACACAGUGACUGUUAAAUGUGUACUUGAGAGACAAAAUUAUUGCCAUAUUUCUAUUCAAGCACCUAGCUUGUAGACUGUUAAAGAUGCAGAAUUUUGGGGAGGAGGUGGGGGAGAUGGUGUAGGGAAGAGACAGGAAGAAAGCAUAGUAAGUAUCCUACUCCGUUCUCUCCCCAGGUGAGAACGCUAUCCCAGCUGAGAUGUUUCAAGCUUUUUCAUAUACAUCCUCUAAGGUUGCCAGCUCAGUCUUCUCUAAGACAGUCUGUUCUGGGGCCUUACUCUCCUUAACUUGGAAAACAUUUUUCUAAUGGCUGACCCAAGUUUCUAUUUUUGCAGUUCCUUCUCAUUCUAUCCCCAGUGGAAUUGCAGAAUAUUUUUUCUUUUGUUGUUUUUUUUUCUUUUCUUUCUUUGUUACUUUUUUUUUUUUUUCCCCCUAACAGAGCCAUGCUGCUUUUCCAGGGUGUACAUUUGAAAGUGUUCUGGUCUGUGGUGCUGACUCAGAGAGUAGGUCGGACUGGAGUGACUUCUGGCAUGAGCAGAUAAUCUGCUUCAGAUGGGCACUGCUGAAUUAGCUCGUGUACAGGAUAGUGAUUCCUGUGCCAACAUGCGCCAAUCUGUGAUUCCCUGUUCCAGAGGAAGCUGCUAUUGCUGUGCUAUGUGCACACCUUGUGCAUGGUGAAGUGCCAGGCCUUUCAUGUUGUGGGGAUUUUGUGUAGCUAUUCCCUUUACAAAAGGUUGAUGGUAAUACCAUAAGAGUGUGUUGCUUGAGAGAAUACAUGAACUUUCACUGCACCAGCUGCAGGUCAUUCAAUUGCCAGGAGAACCAGAAGGACCAAAUAGCAAAGGAUGCUUUGGUCAGUUUCAACAGUGUGACUUUGCAUCAGUGGCAGGAGGGUCUGGGCAAGCAUGUUUUGGAGUUGGACACACGACCUGAGAUCUGAGGCAGGAACAGACGUGCAAAUUGCAGAGAGAAGAUGCAAACAGGAUUGAAAGAUUCUGUGAUUGAAGGGAGCUGGUGACAUGGAGGAUAAAGGGGCAGAUGGAGAACAAAAAGAAACAGACCAUAAAACCUCCAAGGUCCUGUGCAGAGCCAGGGGUUGGCCUGCACUCUUGUGCAUAAGUGAUUCUUGUGGGUCCCUUCCAACUCGGGACAUUCUAAGAUUCUACAUAGGAAGUGCCAUGAAACUCUGCUCAUGUAAGUUAAACAAACAAAUGUUUGGACAAAUGUGUUCCAUUGUGAGGAAUUUAUUUCAGUAAAUGCCUUUAAUCCAAUUUUAGGACAUUGCAGUUCAAUUUAUUGUGUUGCUAAACUGUGGGCCUUACUUGUGAAAGGAGCCAGACCGCUUGCCCAUAGCAUAACAUGGGUUCUGUGGCUAAAGCUGAUGCUGUUCCCCCCUCCACUUCUGACACCACAGCAAAGUUCUUGUCUCAGCUCAAGGGGAUGUGACUAGCCAUCAGCCACUGCCCUGCAAUACAGCUUUUACCUGUAUGAGGUGGGGAGAAGUGUGCUGCCGUUGUUACAUACUGUGAUAACUGUUCUGUUGAGGUAUGUUUUGUGGUCUCUGGCUUCUAAAGUACUUGGGGUUACAUUUGGGACCCAUUGUGGCCAAACUUGGUGUUUUUGCAGACUGAGAGUAUGGCCCUGCCUGGCCAUCCUUUAGAGGGCACUGACUGACUGUGGUUCCAUCAUCUGCUGAAUGUACCCAGGGACUUGUUGCCACUGAGAGAAGAACCAUUCCCCUUUCCUGCUCUCUUCUUCGCUUGUACCCAGAGCUUUUAUCCAUUCUCCAGCCCAUGCUGUCCUGAUCACUUCCCUUUUAAGGGCUGGCUGGCUGCAGGGUUGGUUUUUAUUCUUUGCACUGAGCUAAUUUGGGAUGUUUUAGUGAUUUAGAUCUGCUCCCAGAGACAGAGACACAAGAUGGUAGCAGGGUGUGUGGCCCAGAGACAAAGGGAAACUAUUGCAGUGCUGAUAAAAUACUAAAUGACCUUAUGGCCUCCUGUGGAAUUAUGUCAUUUGCAGCACAAUUCUGGAGAAAUAUUUAAUUUUGGUCACCCUGUUUUGCCUAAAAAAGGGGGAGAGCAGAAGGGAAGGGGACAUCUAAGGGAUGAGUAAUGGUGAAAGGACUGAAGAGAGAAAUGUGUCAUGAGGGGCUUCAGAUCCUGGGGCUGGGGAUUGAAAGAGGAUUUCAAUGACUGUCCAGAAUAAGGGAGAUUUCACUAAGAACUGUAAGAGGUGUCUAGGGCAGGAUUAAAUGUCCAACAUGUUUGGCUCAUGUCCCUUUUGUCCUCACAGAAGGGCGGGGCCCAACUGGUGUGGAAAAUAGAUGUGUCUCUGGCUAAGCACCUGGCUCUCUCUGAAGACCCGAAUACUUCUCCCACUGCUGUCACAUUGUUGGUGUUAGAUAAAACACAUUCAUAUUUUUUUUGUUGUGUAAGGUCAUCAAUUUAUACUCCUAGAACUGCCUCCAUCCCUCUUGCCAGUUUUGCACCUUUCCACUUGGGCUUUGUAUAAGUCUGCCAAGAAAGAAAGUCAGUGGGCAGAGGAAGAGGAGCACUGGGCUGGAAGUGGAGCAGGAACUCUCCUGCCAACCAAGAUAACCACAAAGCCAAAGGACCCAUCUGGGGGUGGUCCUUGGCCCCUCAGCAGCUGGUGCUAUUUUCAUCCUAGCUAAGAGUGACUCUGCUUCCCCUGGUGCAAGGCAGUCAAACCUGUCCAGUUACCUGCAGCCCCAAGGGGAAGGUAAUAAAAUGCCAGGUAAAGCAAAAAUUAGCAAAAUAUAUAACAAUAUACAAAUUUCCCACCCUUCCUAGGCAAGAUGACAAUUCACUGUCUUUGAGAAGCUGAAGCAAUUGGACUGUUAUUUUGAAGCAUGUGUUGAACUGGAACUGCUUGAGUCUCAGCCAUCCCUGCAGAGGAGCAGAGCAAAAGCACUGGCCGCUGUAGCCUGCAGUACAUGCUGCCUGCUUGUGGGUGGCUUAGAGGCAUCUGAACAUUUUGGUACUUUUCUGUUUCUAGAAAUGUUCAUCCUGCUCUAAGCAUCCUUACCUCGAUGUCCAUCCAUACGUUGCAUGCAGCUGCCUAGCUUAUGGGUGUUGUAGUGAGAAAUCCCAAACCCUUAGUUAUGAUGUUGUGUUGUUCCCAUGCAAACUCACUGGAGAGCCUCAUGAUGAAUGCCUGGUGAGAGCUUCCUCUCUGAGGCUGAUGUGUUUGGUAGAUGCAGUAAAAGAGGCAGACCCUGGUGACUGGGCCCAGAGAAGUGAGCUACCAGUGGUUCAUUGCAGCAUUAGCCUUGCUCCACCUUGGCCAGGACUGGGUGCCAGGGGUGUUUUAUGGUGCAGCAUGAGCUCUGCUCCGCAGUUGUGAGGAAGGGUCCGUAGUGAUGCAGUGUCCCCAGCCAAAUGCAAAGGAGAACCACUGUAUUGCAAAAAUAGGCCUUUUAAAGCAGUUAGGCCUUUAUCAGUUACAUAGUUUUAAAUCAUAACAAAUAUAAUUCAACCUACCACUAUACACUACCAUGUGAACACGUGAUAGUUAUGUAGCUUAUUUUUCUACCUCUAAUUCAGGUGAGUCCCUUUCCCACAGUCCUUUUCUACUUAGCUGAAGUAAUAGGCUUGAGCCAUGAUUUUACAAUGCCUUCCUUUUGUAAGGUUUUACGUAUAUGCAACACAUCAUCUUAUAGCUGAUGACUGAGAGGAGAAGGGAAGGGUAAAGCAUGUCACCAGGGCUGUGUAUAAUCCAUCCAAAAGGGGACUGGAAGAAAUGGAGCAUGGAGGGAAUUACAUCUAGCCCAGCACUGUAGACUUCACGCAAAACAGCUUCAGAAACAUCUCUGAUACUCUCUUUGAUUGGCCUGCAUAGUCUGGGGAGCAUCCUGAGUUGCUCUGGGGCAAACCCUUCCAUCCUCGUUCCUACAACACUUAGAUGCUGCCUUCCCCCCAGAUCUGCACUUGCUCUGUUGGUACAAGUGACAGGACCCUCUGAAUAAGCAAAGGAUGUUAGCUGUCAUCCACUGAGGAUGUGGCAAAGGCCUGUGGACAAGCAAUACUCUAAACAUACCUGCUUAAGAUGAAAGAUGAACAUUACAAGGCUGGUGAUUCUUAACUACAGUAGAAUGAGCACAGUGAAACCCAAAACAAAAGGGAAAAUUAAAUAGAAAACCUACUAAAAAUGUCAUUGCAAAAAUGACCUAAAUAAAUAUAUAAAUGUAGAAAAAAAGAAUGGCCUUUUCAUAUACUGCAAGCUGCCAGUUUUUGAAAGCAUCAGGAAACAAGCUGUGGAGCACUGGAAUGGAUAAAACCAGGUUCCCAAAAUGCAGCUCUACUGAGCUGCCUGGCCCAUGAAAUCUCAUUGCCAGUGAUGCUGCUGUUGGGCCAGAGGCAGGCAGGGGCAUGGCCAACCCACGUGCUGAGGGGUGGCUGGGGCAUCUGCUGAGUGGCCACCAGACCACGUUCCUACCAGGUGAGCUCAGCCUUCCUUCCAUGGGCAGGGCUGCUGCCAGCUACCAAUUUUCAGUAAAUUUAUCAGAACUCCGCUGUCUUUGAGGCAUCUUGGUCAAAUUUGGUCAAGGUUACCUAGUAAUACUGGGGGAAAAAACAGGCAAUCAGGCCUUGGGAUUAUACAAGUCUCUUGCCUUUAUGAAAUGCAGACUGAAAAUAAAUUCAGAGCUCAGAAAAGUAGCAAAUGCCUCUGGCUGUUGCAGGGUGCCAGAGAAUGACAUAAGCAAUGUGCUUUGUGGCACAGAGGUGCACAGUACUUUUGCCAAACAUGACACUGACCUGAGCAUGCAGCACCAGAGGGGAUGUCCAGCCAGCAUAGGGAUGGGCAUCACAGUGCAGAUCUUCACCUAGUGGGAAUCUGCUGCUGCUGUUUUCUGCUGCUCUCAGCCUAGACUGUGCCUAUUGCGUGCGAGGUGUGAAGGCCUUCAACAGGUCAGAUGCCCCUACUAAGACAAGGGAUGUUCAGGUACUUCAGUGACCUUGAGUGUGAAAGUCUUUAUGAAUGUGCACUUGGAUUUGGAGGGGCAAAAAAAGGUCUUUGAUCAUCACAAGGAUCUGACUUACUCAUGGAUGUAGACUGGUUUCUUCUAAUUGGCUAGGGGGGUUUUCCAAGUAUUUUUCUCUGUAAGAACAAGUCUGUUUCACCCAGCUGCACUAUUCAGCUCUGCUGCUGAUGUUUUUGUUUUCUCUGCCUGUGGUAUUCUGCAUGGGCAUGAAUAAGCAGGUAUCACUGCUGCACAUUGGCAGUCUCUCAAGGGAUCUGCAGCAAACAGUGAGCACAGUGAUCCAAAAUCACCUUCCAUAUCAUGUUGGCAAAGAACAAAGCCCAAGGGAACUGAUGCCAGCUAGCAUAGCUUGGCAGGGAGAGAUGGGGGAGUUCUAACUCCUCCAUGUCUUUUCUGACAUCACUGCCCCAUGGGGUUCAUGCUGGGUGUUCAGCAGUCCCUGUGCUCCUCAGGGUUGCAGCCAGCUUUGCAUGGCAGCGACACAGCUUCGAUGGAGUGAAAAGGAGGUUAACAACAGUCUCUGCUUCCUGUAACAGUGCUGCUGCAGCCAGCUUACUGGUCUUCAAAAAUAAGUUGUCACUUGUUCAGCUGUUUUACAUAAAAGCAAUUCCCUCUCUAUCUUCAUAAGAGCUGGCUGGACAGCUCAGACUUAACAGCUUCAAUUUCUUCCCCAGGGCACAACCAAGACGUUGCUGUUUUUUUAUCCAAAAAUUUCCCAAAUCAAGGAGGAAGUCUUUGCAUUGGGGGUCCUGGUGGACAACAAGCUGCCCGUGAGCCAGCAGUGCCCUUGUGGCCAAGAAAACCAAAGUUAUCCUGGAGUGCAUUAGGAUAAGGGUGCCAGGAAGUUGAGGGAGGUGAUCCUGCUGUACCUCUGCUCAGCCUUGGUGAAGCCUCACCUGAAGUUCUGUGUUCAGUUCUUAGAUUUCCAGUUCAAGAAGGACAAGGAAAUACUGGAGAGGGUCCAGCAGAGGGCAAUGAAGAUGAUUCACAGGGUCAUGAGGUUGGUUAGCAUUGGAAGUGGCCUCUGGAGAUCAUCUAGUUCAAUUGAAUAGGGGUUUGGAGCACCUCAGUUUUGAGGAGGGGCUGAAGGAGCUGGGCCUCUUUAGGCUGGAGAAGGAGAGUAUCAAAAGGAUGCAGCCAGGCUCUUCCUGGUGGUGCUGAACGAUAGGACAAGAGGUAGCAAGAAGAAACUGGUACACAGUAAGUUCUGACUGAACAUGAGGAAGAACAGCCUUACUGUGAGGGUGACAAAGCACUGGAACAGGCUGACUAGAGGGGCUGUGGAAUCUCCUUCUGGAAUGACUCAAAAGCUACCUGGACACAAUCCUGAGUAAUGAGCACUUGAGACCCAGCUCAUGCAGGGAGGUGGAAGCAGAUGAUUUCCAGUGGUCCCUUCCAACCUUACCCAUUCUGUGAAGUGAUUCUGUGAAGAAUGUGAAACAGAAAAACAGGGGUGCCUUCCCAUGUCUCUUCAUUCUCAGUUUCUGAGUGAUUCUGUCAUUUUGAGAGUGAAAACAAUCCUGUAUUCUGCUCCAGAAGGAUCAACCCAGGAAGGUAUGAGUGUCUCAAAACAGAUCACAGAAAAUUCUGCUGCUAAUUAGCUUUGGCUUCCCUGAUUUUCUGUAUAAUUUUAUGUUUGCUCCACCUUCAUAGAUGAAGCCUUCUGCUACUGUAGCCAAAUGCUACAGUAUGGCGCAGUUUGGUGCUCCAGUCCCAUUUUGGGACUGGAGCAACAAAUUGAAAGGCUUUCUUUUCUGCAUUUUGUUCCCUUGGAAAGGGAUUUGCCUCCAUGAAUUACCCAAUGUCCAGUUACCUGUACCUGCCGCUCAUCUCUGCUCUUCAAUUUUCCUGCCUAUCCCCUUUCCAUCUUUGUUCUUAUUGCUGGGUCCACAUGAAAACCAUUUUUUUUUAUAGCCAGAAUGUACCACUAAUUCCCACUGCCAGGGAGCAAACAGGAGCCCUGACAUGUAUUGCUUGGCUUGUCAGACAGCAGGGUUGUAUGGUGAAAAACUGCGGAAGGCAGGAACACACAACUGGUUGUGCAACUCCCUUCCCUGAAGGGAAGAGUUUACUGUUACCUAAGCAGAGCAAGUCCAAGCAGCCAGCACCCUGUGCUCCUUCCACACUGCUGUCUCUUGCCUGUGCUGUGAGGGAAGAAAAUGGGGGGAAGGAGAUGGCCUGGAAAUGCUGUGUCCUGCCUAAGACAACAGGCUGCUAGCACAUUGUGCAGGCAGGCCAUAGAUUUGGGCCAUCUCCAAGCACCUCUGAGCUACCUGCAAGAAAUGCUUGAUGCCAGCUGAAGAGCCAUGGGGAAAAGUGAACCCAGUUGAACCCAGCUGCCUGUGUGGGUGAACCUCUCACUGCCAGGCCUGCUGCUGGUGGUGAGGCACUCUGCGGCUCCCCUUUCCCCCACUGUUCACAACACAUGCAUCUGCAAAUUGCUUCUCUUCAUCCCCCUUUUCCCCCUUUGCAAAAUGGUCAGAGCAAGAGUCCUAUCCAAGAGUUUCCUGUUCUCUGAGGAAGUGAAUAAAAAAGUAAAAAAAAAUUUCUUUAA